ACUCGAGUGGCGAACGGGUGAGUAACACGUGGGUGAUCUGCCCUGCACUUCGGGAUAAGCCUGGGAAACUGGGUCUAAUACCGGAUAGGAGCCAUUUUUAGUGUGAUGGUUGGAAAGUUUUUCGGUGUAGGAUGAGCUCGCGGCCUAUCAGCUUGUUGGUGGGGUAAUGGCCUACCAAGGCGGCGACGGGUAGCCGGACUGAGAGGUUGGUCGGCCACAUUGGGACUGAGAUACGGCCCAG
rnacentral:rRNA from 1 species